rnacentral:tRNA from 1 species
GGCGGAUGUAGCCAAUUGGAUAAGGGCGGUGGAUUGUGAA